rnacentral:lncRNA from 10 species
GUUUUUCUGACCCAGCCCGGAAGCGCUGGUGCAGGCCUUGAGCUUCCUUUUUUCUUCUCGCUGUGGAAAUUGCCUGGAAAGCUAUGAACUGUUGGUUCUUGAAUCAGUUGGCUGCCCCGGAUGUCUGAAUCCCUUGGAAGGAACCUGGAGGAGUUGGCUGAUGGGCUCCAGGUGCAUGCCAGGCUGUGGAUCUGCCGAGCUUCCUAGUGACCUGGAGUCUGAGCUGCAACUAUGUUCUGUUCUAAUUUCUGUGUCUCUGUAUUCUUUGUAAUUGGGCCACGCUCUUAGACAGCUAGAGCAAUUAAUGACCUUGAGAAAUGAUCCCAGCGCUGAAUGCAGAAUCCUGCUCUUUUGAAGUCAGCCACUUUCUUUGUGGGUCUAAACGUGUUUGUGUUUUCCCCUCUUGGGCAUGUGCCUCCUCCUUCAGCUUUGAUGCUGCCUCUAUAACAACAGGGUUUAGAAUUAUUAAUUCCUCUGCACAGCAAGGUGCAGUGUUAUUAUACAAAAAGGGGAAAAUAUAAUUGCUAUCUUGAGUAAUCAUUUUCUGAAGGCUGAAAGUGUAACCUUUAAUUAAUAUUUCAUCUGCAGCCAGGGUGGGUAACUUGAACAGGGCCUAAAAAUAUUCCUGUCCCAGUGCAUGGAGAAAUCAUGAACUGUGCGACAUGGAGCCAGUGUGUGCUAUUGAAUUGUUGGCAAUUAUUUCUAAAAUUAAAAUGUUUAACCACAUUAACCCAUAAUAAAAUGGGGGGAGAGCUAUAGAGGUGCAACUCUUUACUGAGUAGGAUAAAUGUGCAAAUUCCUGGCAUAAUUUGUCUCAGCCACCUGCAUUGGGAGAGCCAUCUCACCUGCCUGAGAAAUGAAUUUGGGGCCCAGGGGCCUGGUGGGCCAGGAAGUCACUGAUCAAAGCUUGGCUUCCAGGCGGUGGCUGUGUCCACCAGGCACUGUGCGGGCUGGAGUUGGACUUCUACAGGUCACUGGGUUUAAGGGUGGGAUGGGAAGCACUGUCUUUGGUGUUUUCCAGAGCGGGGCACUUGAGAUGUUCAAAGUGCUUCCUGAGAGACGGCCAAAGGGUGUUCCCUGGGUGGCCUGGGAGUCCAAGAGACAUGUACUCUGGGGCAGGAAGAGGGCAGGUGCUACCGGAUCACCCUAACAACCCUCUGGGACCUGUGGCCAUGUGUUCACAACAGCAGCCAUUACAGGUGUUUCCUGAACUCUUGUCGCGAGCCUCUGUCGGCUCCAUCUCAUCGAUCCUCCCAGCAACCCACAAGGAAGCUUCACAGAGAGGCAGAUGCCACACAGGCCACCCACCCAGAUGCAGAGCCAGAUUCCCUGCGUGGACUGGACGGGAGUUUCCCAGCUGGAGUUCUCUCGGCCAAGCUGCCUGUGACAUGGGGUUGGAGGUGCUCCAGAGAGUCAUGGCCACCCCUGGAGGAAGUGACUUGUGGCUGACUGCUCAAGGGGAAGUCCUGUGGCAGUGGAGUCGUCAGCAUUAAUUCAAAUAAGGUGAGCAACAAGGAAUACCGAGAGGAGGUUUCCACACCAUGAACAAACAUGGCACCAGGAUCUGGAAGCUCCGGGCUUCUCCGUCUUCUAGAAUUCUGGGAGCCUCACAUGGCCCCCUCCUUGGCGAGUGUAUUAGGCUGUACUUGUAUUUCUGAAAUACAAAUAAAUACCUGAGACUGGGCAAUUUAUAAAGAAAAGAGGGUUAACUGGCUCACAGUUCUGCAGGCUGUACAGGAAGCAUGAUGCUGGCAUCUGCUUGGCUUCUGGAGAGCUCUCAGGAAGCUUCCAAUUGUGGAGGAAGGUGAAGCGGAAGCAGGCAUCUCACAUGGCCAGAACAGGAGCAAGAGCGUGACGAGGGAGGGGCUACACACUUUUAAAUGACCAGAUCUUGCAAGAACUCACUCACUAUGGUGAGGAUCGUACUAAGGGGGGUGCUGCUGAAAUGUUCAUGAGAAAUCUGCUGGCAUGAUCCAGUGCCCUCCCCCCAGGCCCCACCUCCAACAAUGGGGAUUCCAUUUCAACCAGAGAUUUGGGCAGGGACACACAUCCGAACCAUGUUAGGGAGCGACCCACACAGAGAGGACAGGGAAAGCUGGCUGCUGGGCCUAUUCAGGAGUAUAUCUGUCACAUGGGGGGGUCUGCAGUCUGGAACCCUCUAGAAGAGUCACAGCAUUUUCUCUCACACACACAUAGAAACCCAAAGAGGCCAGCUGAGUCUGGUGUGGAUUAUCUAUGAUUUAAUUUUAAUUAUUGUUGUAAAAUUAAACUUCCAGAGAUGUGUAAAGUGUAUUCUCAGCAAGUUUCCACACUGCCUGGGAGUGCUGUUGACACUUUUGUUUGACUGGAUGCGCCUUCCCUCCCUGUCCUCACCCCGAGGUGCAGGCUCAUGCAGACUCUAUUCAGACUACAAGUUUUAGGAAUGUAGGAUUAACCUUCCCAUUCUGUGGACAAGGACAUUCAGGCCUCGGGAGCUUUAAGGGAGUGGUCAGAGGCCUCCCAGCUGGUAAGUGAGCUUUUCAUUUUUAAAUCCAACACUCUUCAGCAACAGAGCACAUAGAAACUUCAUUCAGGGUGGACUAGGACUGCAGGGCUGCUGGGGGACACAGCAUGGCUGGAGCGAUGCGGGAUCGGGGGUGGGCACAGCGAUGCGGGAGAGGCAGAGG